AGGGCUGGACUCAGCGGCGGAGCU
rnacentral:miRNA from 1 species